GAUGUGGAGGGGGGGAGGAUAUUGGAGAAAAUAAACAAUGCAAGUCAGUGCAAUUAGGACCUAAGCUGAACCCACAAAAAAAGGAAGAAAAGAAAGAAAAAAAAUAGAAGAAAUAUCCCAAAAUAUAUUGUUUUGCUGCAAGAACAAACAGAAUUUAUGUUUAGUUACAUAUGGAUAUGGUGUUAAUAACCAAAUUUAUCAUUGUAAAAUGUAAAAAGUAGAUAAGUAACAUAUGGGUUUUUGUCGCGACGUUUAUGUAUCCAACUGAAUACAAGUAUUGAUACAUAACAUACUGUGUUAAAAGCGGACUGACUUUUGAACUUUAUCAACGCACAGUCUCCAAUUAUGUCUAAGAUUAUUUA
rnacentral:lncRNA from 1 species